rnacentral:ncRNA from 1 species
AUCGUGAGGUGUGGGAGAGAAGAAGCAAUAGCGAAAUCGUAGCUCUACGGACAGAAACUUAAUACAAAGGCACAUUUGGCGGAUAAGUUGACUAAAAACAACGAAGUACAAGAGGUAAUCGUAACCCAAGUGCGUAAAUUAAGAGUAUACGCUGA